UAGGGAAUCUUGCGCAAUGGGCGAAAGCCUGACGCAGCGACACCGUGUGAAGGAUGAAGGCCUUCGGGUCGUAAACUUCUGUCAAUUGGGGACGAAGGUAGUAGAGUUAAUACCUCGAAUACUGACGGUACCCGAUAAGGAAGUCUCGGCUAACUCCGUGCCAGCAGCCGCGGUAAGACGGAGGAGGCAAGCGUUGUCCGGAAUCAUUGGGCGUAAAGAGCGCGUAGGCUGUUUUUCAAGUCAUAUGUGAAAACCUCAGGCUCAACUUGAGGACUGCAUAUGAAACUGGAUAACUUGAGUGCAGUAGGGGAAAGUGGAAUUCCUGGUGUAGCGGUGAAAUGCGCAGAUAUCAGGAAGAACACCGGUAGCGAAGGCGGCUUUCUGGGCUGCUACUGACGCUGAGGCGCGAAAGCUAGGGGAGCAAACAGG
rnacentral:rRNA from 1 species